GACGAACGCUGGCGGCGUGCUUAACACAUACAAGUCGAACGGAAAGGCCCUGCUUUUGUGGGGUGCUCGAGUGGCGAACGGGUGAGUAACACGUGAGUAACCUUCCCUUUACUUUGUGAUAACUUCAGGAAACUGGGGCUAAUACCGGAUAGGAGCUCCUGCUGCAUGGUGGGGUUUGGACAGUUUCGGCGGUUGGGGAUGGACUCGCGGCUUAUCAGCUUGUUGGUGGGGUAGUGGCUUACCAAGGCUUUGACGGGUAGCCGGCCUGAGAGGGGGACCGGCCACAUUGGGACUGAGAGACGGCCCAGACGCCUACGGGAGGCAGCAGUGGGGAAUAUUGCACAAUGGGCGGAAGCCUGAGGCAGCAACGCCGCGUGCGGGAUGACGGCCUUCGGGGUGUAAACCGCUUUAGCCUGUGACGAAGCGGGAGUGACGGUAAUGGGUAAAGAAGCACCGGCUAACUACGUG
rnacentral:rRNA from 1 species